GACGAACGCUGGCGGCGUGCUUAACACAUGCAAGUCGAACGUGAUUUUUGUGGAAAUUCUUUCGGGAAUGGAAAUGAAAUGAAAGUGGCGAACGGGUGAGUAACACGUGAGCAACCUACCUUACACAGGGGGAUAGCCGUUGGAAACGACGAUUAAUACCGCAUGAGACCACAGAAUCGCAUGAUAUAGGGGUCAAAGAUUUAUCGGUGUAAGAAGGGCUCGCGUCUGAUUAGCUAGUUGGAAGGGUAAAGGCCUACCAAGGCGACGAUCAGUAGCCGGUCUGAGGGGAUGAACGGCCACAUUGGAACUGAGACACGGUCCAAACUCCUACGGGAGGCAGCAGUGGGGAAUAUUGCACAAUGGGGGGAACCCUGAUGCAGCGACGCCGCGUGAGCGAAGAAGGUUUUCGAAUCGUAAAGCUCUGUCCUAUGAGAAGAUAAUGACGGUAUCAUAGGAGGAAGCCCCGGCUAAAUACGUGCCAGCAGCCGCGGUAAUACGUAUGGGGCGAGCGUUGUCCGGAAUUAUUGGGCGUAAAGGGUACGUAGGCGGUUUUUUAAGUCAGGUGUGAAAGCGUGAGGCUUAACCUCAUUAAGCACUUGAAACUGGAAGACUUGAGUGAAGGAGAGGAAAGUGGAAUUCCUAGUGUAGCGGUGAAAUGCGUAGAUAUUAGGAGGAAUACCGGUGGCGAAGGCGACUUUCUGGACUUUUACUGACGCUCAGGUACGAAAGCGUGGGGAGCAAACAGG
rnacentral:rRNA from 1 species